CCCUUAGAUGUCCUGGGCUGCACGCGCGCUACACUGAUGUGUCCAGUAAGCACCUAACCUCUUCCGAAAGGAACGGGUAACCUUUGCAAAGCACAUCGUGAUGGGGAUAGAUUAUUGCAAUUAUUAGUCUUGAACGAGGAAUUCCUAGUAAGCACAAGUCAUCAGCUUGUGUUGAUUACGUCCCUGCCCUUUGUACACACCGCCCGUCGCUCCUACCGAUUGAAUGUUCCAGUGAGCUCUUCGGACUGCGCGGUCUGCAGUUUCUGCGUUCCGUGCGGAAAGUUGCGCAAACCUUAACAUUUAGAGGAAGGAGAAGUCGUAACA
rnacentral:rRNA from 1 species